rnacentral:rRNA from 1 species
AUUGAACGCUGGCGGCAUGCCUUACACAUGCAAAUCGAACGGUAACGGGCCUUCGGGUGCCGACGAGUGGCGAACGGGUGAGUAAUACAUCGGAACGUGCCCGAUCGUGGGGGAUAACGAGGCGAAAGCUUUGCUAAUACCGCAUACGAUCUACGGAUGAAAGCAGGGGACCGCAAGGCCUUGCGCGGACGGAGCGGCCGAUGGCAGAUUAGGUAGUUGGUGGGAUAAAAGCUUACCAAGCCGACGAUCUGUAGCUGGUCUGAGAGGAUGAUCAGCCACACUGGGACUGAGACACGGCCCAGACCCCUACGGGAGGCAGCAGUGGGGAAUUUUGGACAAUGGGCGCAAGCCUGAUCCAGCCAUGCCGCGUGCAGGAUGAAGGCCUUCGGGUUGUAAACUGAUUUUGUACGGAACGAAAAGCCUUCUUUUAAUACAGGAGGGUCAUGACGGUACCGUAAGAAUAAGCACCGGCUAACUACGUG